UAUAUGCAGUUUUAUUACAAUCAACACUGGAACAAUUGCAAAUAUUGCUAAACAAUACAUCCGUACGAAAUUGUUAAAUUUUUUGAUCUUUUUGCUUGUUUCCUCAUAUUCUUCACGAUUUUCAGUUGAAUGAACAACGAUCGGAUCAUAUAAAAAUGCGAGGAUUUCUUGCUUGUUAAACAACAGGUACAAAAGUUUCACGUAUAAAACCGAUGUUGUAAUUGACAUCUGUACUGAAAAAAUAGAUUCAUUCCGAUCAACACAUAGAAAAGCGUUAGUUGCGAAAAUUAUCGG